UACGAAGGGUGCAAACGUUGCUCGGAAUUAUUGGGCGUAAAGCGCACGUAGGCGGCUUUGUAAGUUGGAUGUGAAAGCCCUCGGCUCAACCAAGGAAGUGCAUCCAAAACUACAAAGCUUGAGUACUUAAGAGGAUCGCGGAAUUCCCGGUGUAGAGGUGAAAUUCGUAGAUAUCAGGAGGAACACCGGUGGUGUAAACGGCUUUCUGGACCACAACUGACGCUGAGGCACGAAAGCGUGGGUAGCAAACAGG
rnacentral:rRNA from 1 species